rnacentral:rRNA from 1 species
UGCAGUCGGACGGUAGCACAGAGGAGCUUGCUCCUUGGGUGACGAGUGGCGGACGGGUGAGUAAUGUCUGGGGAUCUGCCCGAUAGAGGGGGAUAACCACUGGAAACGGUGGCUAAUACCGCAUAACGUCGCAAGACCAAAGAGGGGGACCUUCGGGCCUCUCACUAUCGGAUGAACCCAGAUGGGAUUAGCUAGUAGGCGGGGUAAUGGCCCACCUAGGCGACGAUCCCUAGCUGGUCUGAGAGGAUGACCAGCCACACUGGAACUGAGACACGGUCCAGACUCCUACGGGAGGCAGCAGUGGGGAAUAUUGCACAAUGGGCGCAAGCCUGAUGCAGCCAUGCCGCGUGUAUGAAGAAGGCCUUCGGGUUGUAAAGUACUUUCAGCGGGGAGGAAGGCGGUGAGGUUAAUAACCUUGCCGAUUGACGUUACCCGCAGAAGAAGCACCGGCUAACUCCGUGCCAGCAGCCGCGGUAAUACGGAGGGUGCAAGCGUUAAUCGGAAUUACUGGGCGUAAAGCGCACGCAGGCGGUCUGUUAAGUCAGAUGUGAAAUCCCCGGGCUUAACCUGGGAACUGCAUUUGAAACUGGCAGGCUUGAGUCUCGUAGAGGGGGGUAGAAUUCCAGGUGUAGCGGUGAAAUGCGUAGAGAUCUGGAGGAAUACCGGUGGCGAAGGCGGCCCCCUGGACGAAGACUGACGCUCAGGUGCGAAAGCGUGGGG